AUUACCGUGCUGCAUAAUCCAUGCAGACAUAGCAGCAACUUGUUACCUUAACUGAAGGCUAUGGUGUAAUUAGCUUAAUUACAAUGCUGAAUUCAUUUGAGAAGUAUACCAUUCCCUGUGCCCUACAGGGUAAUGCAUAAUUCCAAAUACUUCAUCAAUUGGAAAUAAGCUAUGAGCUACAUAUGGGCUGCAGCACAGGCCUGCAGCUGGGCUUUUGUUCAGUGGUGUGCAUCCUCAACUGGCCAGAGAAUCUGACUGAAGUUGGUACCCACCAACACCUUUAAACUGUAGAGGUAGAUCAUGAUGCUUUCUCUUAGGAAAGGACCUCUACUAUAGAGGCCACAGGCUGCGGGGUCUUCCAAGGGAUGUCCCCAACAGAUAUUAAUGUGAAAGUGUUAACUUUAUAGGGGAUCAGGCCAACUAAAACAAUGAAGCACAGUACACAGUUGCCUCCCAGAUACUCACAUAUGUCUGCACACCACAUAACCUGUGCUCCAGAUGCAGCCCCACUGCCAUGUUCUGGCCAAAGCCACAAGCACAGUAAGUCAACACACGCCAUUGGGUGCAUGCUGACGGGACGGGCCAGCUAUGGCCAGGAGCAGGUUGGAAUCACAUGAUAGGUGCUAGUGGCAGUGUGGCGAUGAGCACCAGGAGCUGCUCACACACAGGGCACAACCCCAUCUCUCCAAAGGGUUAUGGUACACAGCUUGAGAUUUCAGCAGUGCUCAGCUGGACUGCAGCUGGGCUGUGCAGAAAGAUCCCAGCCCCAAGCCACUCUUGUGUUGGAAAACAAUAACUGUCCAGGAUGACUUCAAGACCCGAUCAUCUGUAAUCCCAUACUUACAGUGAUAGUUGGACCUUCACCAAUUUCUAGCUUUCUCUUCAGCUCCACUCCCUCAUCACCUUCCCACACACACAUGCUGUGAAAGCUCACCUCACUUCCCAGAAAAAAUUAAUUCCCAAGACUUUUUCCUAAAGAGUAGGAAGAAUAACUGCCUUUUGAAUUCAACACAGCAAGCCUACAAGCCUACAAUUACGAAAAAUGUUUAAUUUGGGUUGACAGGAAAUGAAACUGUAUUUUCUUGGUAAAACAAUAAAACUCCAAAAUUCCAUUUUGGACUGAGCAAUGUAUUUGGUUCGACCUGAAACAAAACACGUCAUUUUUGUGUUUAAACUUUUCACCCCUUUUCAUUUAUUGCAGGCAGGAAAACCUCAAAAUAAAAACAAAUGUUGUUUCAAAC
ensembl:lncRNA